rnacentral:tRNA from 2 species
GCCCCCGUAGUUAAAUGGAUAUAACAAGCCCCUCCUAAGGGUUAAUUAUAGGUUCGAUUCCUAUCGGGGGUGCCA